rnacentral:rRNA from 1 species
UACGGAGGGUGCAAGCGUUGUUCGGAAUCACUGGGCGUAAAGGGCGCGUAGGUGGUUUGAUAAGGGUGUGGUGAAAGCCCGGAGCUCAACUCCGGGUCUGCCGUGCCGACUGUCAAACUCGAGGACUGUAGAGGCAGACGGAAUUCCGGGUGUAGCGGUGGAAUGCGUAGAGAUCCGGAGGAAGACCGGUGGCGAAGGCGGUCUGCUGGGCAGUUUCUGACACUGAGGCGCGACAGCGUGGGGAUCAAACAGG